rnacentral:rRNA from 1 species
AGAGUUUGAUCAUGGCUCAGGACGAACGCUGGCGGCAGGCUUAACACAUGCAAGUCGAGCGCCCCGCAAGGGGAGCGGCAGACGGGUGAGUAACGCGUGGGAACGUGCCUUUUGGUUCGGAACAACUGAGGGAAACUUCAGCUAAAACCGGAUAAGCCCUUCGGGGGAAAGUUUACGCCAAAAGAUCGGCCCGCGUUAGAUUAGCUAGUUGGUGGGGUAAUGGCCUACCAAGGCGACGAUCUAUAGCUGUUCUGAGAGGAAGAUCAGCCACACUGGGACUGAGACACGGCCCAGACUCCUACGGGAGGCAGCAGUGGGGAAUAUUGGACAAUGGGCGCAAGCCUGAUCCAGCCAUGCCGCGUGGAUGAAGAAGGCCCUAGGGUUGUAAAGUCCUUUCGGUGGUGAAGAUAAUGACGGUAACCACAGAAGAAGCCCCGGCUAAUUUCGUGCCAGCAGCCGCGGUAAU